UGUAAGUGUUUUUGUGUUUCGACUGGCCUACCACUCGGAGCUUAUUAAGCACUUUUAUUGUCAUUUUGACUUUAAUGUGAGUUUUUUCUCAACUAGCGUUUAAGAGGAGAGAUUGGCUCACGAAGCUUGAGCGUGGGAAGAGAAGGGAAAUGAAGAGAGGUCAUCAUUAUCAUUGACUUCUUCAACUUGGAAUCCCUCAAACCAAGCUCACAAAUCUGCUUGAUCUGAAGUCUCUCUAGCUCUCGAAUCCUCUCGUUGUCCAUUUCCCACGAGUUUCGUUUACCUGCCAGUAGAGAGAGUCUCCUUUAGCCACCUCCGCAUUUUCCAGGAUUGUCUCCGUCUUGAAAAGUUUAUCGGGCCGGUUUAUAGUUCCAAUACCCGGCCCAACUAUCACAUGUUAAC